GACGAACGCUGGCGGCGUGCUUAACACAUGCAAGUCGAACGGAAAGGCCCUGCUUUUGUGGGGUGCUCGAGUGGCGAACGGGUGAGUAACACGUGAGUAACCUGCCCUUGACUUUGGGAUAACUUCAGGAAACUGGGGCUAAUACCGGAUAGGAGCUCCUGCUGCAUGGUGGGGGUUGGAAAGUUUCGGCGGUUGGGGAUGGACUCGCGGCUUAUCAGCUUGUUGGUGGGGUAGUGGCUUACCAAGGCUUUGACGGGUAGCCGGCCUGAGAGGGUGACCGGCCACAUGGGGACAGAACAGAGGCCGAGACUCCGACGGGAGGCAGCAGGGGGGAAUAGUGUACAAGGGGCGGAGGGCUGAUGCACCAACGCCGCGGGCGGGAUGAGGGCCGUAGGGUAGUAGACCGAGUCCGCCUGGGACGAAGCGUGAGGGACGGGAAUGGGUAAAGAAGCAAAGGCUACGUACGUG
rnacentral:rRNA from 1 species